rnacentral:rRNA from 1 species
ACCCGCACAAGCGGUGAUGAUGUGGUUUAAUUCGAUGCAACGCGAAAACCUUACCCACCUUUGACAUGUACGGAAUCCUCUAGAGAUAGAGGAGUGCUCGAAAGAGAGCCGUAACACAGGUGCUGCAUGGCUGUCGUCAGCUCGUGUCGUGAGAUGUUGGGUUAAGUCCCCGCAACGAGCGCAACCCUUGUCAUUAGUUGCUACGAAAGGGCACUCUAAUGAGACUGCCGGUGACAAACCGGAGGAAGGUGGGGAUGACGUCAAGUCCUCAUGGCCCUUAUAGGUGGGGCUACACACGUCAUACAAUGGCUGGUACAAAGGGUUGCCAACCCGCGAGGGGGAGCCAAUCCCAUAAAGCCAGUCGUAGUCCGGAUCGCAGUCUGCAACUCGACUGCGUGAAGUCGGAAUCGCUAGUAAUCGUGGAUCAGCAUGUCACGGUGAAUACGUUCCCGGGUCUU